CCUACGGGGGGCAGCAGUGAGGAAUAUUGGUCAAUGGGCGCGAGCCUGAACCAGCCAAGUCGCGUGAGGGAUGACGGCCCUACGGGUUGUAAACCUCUUUUGCCGGGGAGCAACGGGCGCCACGUGUGGCGCCACUGAGAGUACCCGGAGAAAAAGCAUCGGCUAACUCCGGGCCAGCAGCCGCGGUAAUACGGGGGAUGGGAGCGUUAUCCGGAUUUAUGGGGUUUAAAGGGUGGGUAGGGGGAUCGUUAGGUCGGUGGGAAAAUUGAGGGCCUAACCCUCUUACCGCCAUUGAAACUGGCGUCCUUGAGUGGAAGAGAGGUAGGCGGAAUGCGUGGUGUAGCGGUGAAAUGCAUAGAUAUCACGCAGAACCCCGAUUGCGAAGGCAGCAUGCCGGCCUCUGACUGACGCUGAAGCACGAAAGCGUGGGGAUCGAACAGGAUUAGAUACCCCAGUAGUC
rnacentral:rRNA from 1 species